CCCAUUCCUACAGUUACUCCAAUCCUACAUCACUCCAAUUACUCCUACGUUCCUCUGAUCCUAUAUAUUAUUUACUCCAUUCAUUGUUUAUCAUUUAUAACUUCUGUGUGUUAGCUCUGAGAUCUUUUUUAGUAUUUCUUCUAUUUCUAGAAAAUAAUAGUCUCAGUUUUUUUGUGACCUGGAAGCAGUCUAAUUUUGCUUUUGUUUUUUAAAGGGGAAUUUCACUAACUGUGUAGAGUACCGGAGAGUAAACUAGGUGCAGUGGUAUGUAUCUGUAAUCUCAGCUUGCAGGACAGAUCUCUGGAACUCAGCAGCUCAAUGCAGCAGCUCAAAGCCUAGACAGUAUAAUAAGACAUCAUUAAAAAAAAUUCUGGCAGACUUUUUUCCCCUCCAGAUACAGUUCCACUAUCUACUAGUUUUCAUACGUCAGUGGAAAAAUUGGUAGUCAGUCCUAUUUGAUGUUCCAUCUUAUUUCUUUGGCUAAUUUUAUGCCUUUGCUCAGUAUAUUCAUUUUCAAUAGUUUCUUAGUCCUUCCCAAAUUUAGCUUGGUUGUGUGAUCUUGAAUUUUUUUUUUCAAUCUU